GGCAGUUAUUACUUUCCUGUGCGAAUUAAGUACAGCGUGUCACUUAUCUGAUAUUUCCAGCACUUUUAUAUCAAUAGACCAAGUGCCCUUAGUGAUUUCCAAGCAACGCACAGUUUACUGUUUCAAUUGUUUGCCCACGAAUCACGAAGUCCAGUAAAAAAUUUAAUGAAUAGAGAGUUGAAGUUCAACAAUCAUUACGUUGCACUACAGUGCUCAAAACCAGCAAUUCCCCGUGGGAUAUAUCUAUAACCGAAAGCGUACCACUUACCUUUUUAUGAUGGUUUCUACUGUAUGCAGUGGUGCUGGUGAAUGGAGUGUGGAGUUAAUAACUGAGUGAAACUUAUGGCCUAUUAAAUGGCGGGACCGAAUUACCACACAACCAACCACAACGACCAUCAUGUGUUA
rnacentral:misc_RNA from 1 species